AACUAACGCUGGCGGCGUGCCUAACACAUGCAAGUCGUACGAGAAAGUUGGCUUCGGCCGAUGAGUACAGUGGCGCACGGGUGAGUAACGCGUGGAUAAUCUGCCCUUAAGUGUGGAAUAACGUACCGAAAGGUGCGCUAAUACCGCAUAAUGCCUGGCAACAUAAGUUGUCCGGCCAAAGAAGGCCUCUGCUUGCAAGCUUUCGCUAAAGGAUGAGUCCGCGUACCAUUAGCUAGUUGGUGGGGUAACGCCUACCAAGGCGACGAUGGUUAGCUGGUCUGAGAGGAUGAUCAGCCACACUGGAACUGAGACACGGUCCAGACUCCUACGGGAGCAGCAGUGAGGAAUAUUGCGCAAUGGGGGCAACCCUGACGCAGCAACGCCGCGUGAGUGAGGAAGGUUUUCGGACUGGUAAAGCUCUGUCGAGCGGGAAGAAGUGUACCAUGGCUAAUAUCCAUGAUAUUUGACGGUACCGCUAGAGG
rnacentral:rRNA from 1 species